ACAUUUAACAGAAAUCUAUAUUUUUAGGGUUCCAAAAAGUGUUUGAUCAGAGUCAUCUAUUAUUUUUAUUUAGCACCAUUUAUGAUUUUUUUAACCGAAAAAUUAAACAUGUCUUACUGCCGUUUGCCGUCAGGGAUUACGAUUUUUUGAAAUGUUUGCUGGAAAAGGUGAUUUUAUUGUGUAUUAUUUGUUCAUAAACUUUUCUUAAGGCUCUGCUCGAUCAUCUAUAAUAGAAAGGUAAAUCGCAAAAUUUUUAGAUACAUUAACCAGGAAAAGAUCCUAUCUAAGGAAUUUCUUGUUUUGAUCUGGAUAUUCUCACACCUUUUUUACGUAGUAGACAUUAAUAAUAGCACAUAUGAGCAUGCAUUCUUCAUGCAUCCUUUCACAGAAGAGGAGGUAGGAGUGAUCUCAGAGAAGGUAGCUAAUCUUUGACCAAGGAUUAAAUCCGAUGCAGGAAGAUAAAAAGCAUUGGGAGACAAAGAUUUAUGGCAAAUUGAGGCUUAUCAAACACAGUUCAGCCAUAUCUAUAACUACGACUUUGAAACUAAACAAAUAGGCUUUAUCUUCGUGGCAGUUGAUGGUUAUGUCCUUUUUCAUCUGCAACAUUUGAAGAAGAUGCCCAUUACAUUGAAUAAAUUCAACAUUCGACAGUGGAAUCACGAAAUUCAACAUUGAAGAGAACCUAAUUCAUUUUAGAUUUUGUACAACAAAUCGAUGGUUGUAUACAGUUCCAGGGCAGUACAUUUAUCUUUUUCAUGAAUAUUACCAACAAUGCAUAAGGACACAAGUAUAUCUAAUUUUUUUGGCCUUUGGCCACUUCAUUUUCUUAUUGGUAAAAUCUAAUUAGAAUUUUACAUCCUGUUGUUUUUGGUUAACUUUCAAUUUUCUAUAAUAUCCUGAGUCCCAUAUUUUCUCCAUUGUGGUAAUAAUAACAUCAUUCAUUAAUUCUUUAAAGUAUUUUAUUGCCUGUAUUUCAAUAAGUCUCUUUUAUUUGCAUUAUUUUUCUUAUGGUGUUAUUUUUCUAAUGCUUUUUUGCUUGUGUAAUUCCUUGUACAGAAUUUUAGUUUUGAUGGAUACAUUUUUAUGUCAUUUUUUUCAGAUUGUAUCCCAUGAAUUGCUAUAAUUUUACAGAUCUUGUUGGUUCCCUUUGCCCGUGUUUAAACACACAAAAUACACUUAAAACUCCCACAAUAAGAACUAUUCCCAAUCAAUUCCUGGCGCAUUCGCCAUUUAUUCAAAAAACCUGACUCGUCCUCAGACGAUGUCACUUCUGUUUUUCCCAGCCUUUUUUUCAAUGAAUUUUUCUGAAUAAUAUGGACUCCAGAGCAUCACAGCUAGCCUCCCCGCAAAAGAGGAGACCCGGGUCGCUCCCUAACCCUGAUGUUCGGGCAUCGAUGACCUAUGUAGCAUGCAUAGGUACCCAAGGGAGUCACCACUCUCUGGUUUACGAGCUAGGUGUUCUAA
rnacentral:lncRNA from 1 species